rnacentral:misc_RNA from 1 species
CAUCCACGUUACUGCACCAACACACGUGUGGGCUGUCGUUGGACACCUUCUCCCACAGCAGCAUUCCUCUAACGCAGGCUCCUCCUGCCACCGACUCGCCACCUUCCCAUCUUUUACUGCCCACCCACCGCACCGUCUCCUGCAUAAAAAAUGACCAGCUCUCGCGCUACCAGCAACGCGAAGCUGGUGAAGCGCCAUCAGCGGCAGCAGUCGAACGCACUCGCCAGGUCCUCGGCGAACAAGUUCACGCUUAGGCAGAGCCAGUUCGAACGGCAGCGUGAGGAGGAGCAAGUGCGAGCGCAGCAGCAGGCGGACGCGCCGUGGAGCACGAGCCGCGCAGUUGGGGAUGGUCUCCUGUCACGAGGCGGCCACGAGCGGGGCGCCGGCGGCUACACUGCAUCUGAGAUGGAGGUGCGCGACACCCCCAACCCCUUCGCACGCGGUCGCAGUGCCCCUGCAAGCGAGACCUUCGCGACGACGACUCGGAGUGCCACCAUGGGGCUCGAAAAGAUGCAGGCGCGCACCACGCGGACCACCCGCCGCAUCGACCGCUUCAACCUGACCACCAGUGCCGACUCGGAAGCGGCGCCGUCACCAUCCUCGCUCAUGGGCGUGCGGCGGGUGCGAGAGGGCGAGGGGCGUGAGGAGGGCGGCUUGGCGGCCCCGCCGGCCAAAGUGAUGCGGGCGGAGCGCUUUCGCGAAAUGAUCUCGAACAGCAAAGGCCAGCGCGCGCAGCUGCAGCGCGAGCGUGCGGAGCGUGACGCGACCACCGUGCAGCUCGAUGCUGAGAUCAACGACCUUCUCCACCUUCUGCCGAGGCGCAACAAAGUCAAGGAGGAGCAGGAGGCGUUCGCCCAGUCCGGCACACCGGAGGUUCGCGCCCUGCUCGAUUCGUACCGGCGAAACCACCAGGCGAAGUGCCUCACGCUAAAGUCCUCCGGCGCCUUCGAGGUCCGCACGCUGGUGGAGGCGGCUCGCAGCACCACGACUCGAUCGGCGCCCUCUGCGCAGACAGCGGGUCCGACGGCACCGUCGUUUCUGGACGCCGCAGAUCGCGUGUUGCUGGCGCGCGUUCGAGCCGGCGCCGCGCGCUCGUCGGAGGAGGACAUAAACGAAGCCGCUUCCCCAGCGGGCGCUCGCGUCGGGGCGCCAUCGAUAACGCGGCAGGCUGCCGCUGACAUCGCCGAGGCGCGCGCGAUGGCGAGCCCCGGUGGCGGUGGCCGUCUGGCGAGCUGUGACGACUUCGACUUGAUGAUGCACACCUUUCGGAUGGACCCGCGCCGCGCGCACGCUGUUGAUCGCACGCUGACGGAGGAGGAGGAAGUCGCCAUGUCUGUGCAGCAGACGCUGCUGAAGGAGGAUCGGGAGCAGGUACCAUCGCUGCACCUGCAGGAGCGCGACCAGACACAGCUGACACGAGGGGAGUGGGUCGCCCAGGGCGGUGAUAUUGCUUUCCACAUGGACGACGAUGCAGAGAACGCCGGGGCAGAUGACGACAACGUAGAUAUCCCGUCUUCCUACGAGGGCGACAGCGACGCCGGCGUCGACGGUGACGAAGCUGCGGUUGUGGCGGAGUCUGAGCUGGACGAGGAUGAGGAGGACGCCACCGUGGAACGUGUCGGCGGCUCUGCCACACUCGAUCGCCUUUUCGAGCAGCUGGAACGGGUGGCGACGCCUGAGACGGAGAACGCGACGUCACGGCCGCGGCGGCUGCACACGCUGCUCGUGCAGCUGCACCGCUACGCUGCGCAUCACGUCGUGGAGGUGACGAAGGCGUUUCGGCUCGUCCUCGUCGAGGCGGAGCGCAGCUUUCUUCGAGGUACUCGUCGAGGUGGCAUGCGCCGCUCCCUCCUCGUGUACCUCUACGCCAUAUCGAAGAUCUUUCCGACGUCCGACUACCGUCACGCCGUGAUGACGCCGUUCCUCUUGUUCCUGUGCUCAGCCCUGAUGCAGAUGAAGCUGGACUCGCUCGAAGCGGUGCACAGCUACCUGGUCCUCGCCACCCUUCUCCUGCACUGCCUCAAGGCGGGAUCUGGACGGUUCUGCGCGGAGGUGGUAGUGGCACCUCUCAACGUUCUGGCGCUGCAGCUACCUCGUGUGGCACUCGAACCAGCGCGAUACCAGGGCACAGUGCUGCCGAUGCCCCUGCUGGAGCGCACCGAGCAGGCCCUGCUGGUCUCCUCCGCGUCCGCUGCCACGCUGUCAGAGAGCGAUGACGCCACUUCGCAACGACCCCCGUACCAGGUGGGGCUGUUCGACACCACUCACUCACCAGAGCGCCUUCUGCUGUGCGCGUACCGCCUGCUGGAGGAGGUGUUCGACCUGCACCGCAGCAUCCCAGCCUUCCCCGUCAUGUGCGCCCGUCCCUUUUUAGCCCUGGACGCGCUGCUGUUGCGGCCGCCGUCGUCGUCAGCGGCGUCGGCGUGGACGCCGUCUGCGGCCGUGCGUCUCGCCCACGAGGUUCUCACGGUGAAGGUUGGGGACAUGGCCAAGCACGUCGAGGCGCAUCGUACACCACUUGCGAUGCGCACGUUCCGGCCGCGGCCCCUGCGCCAGUUCGACCCGCUCCUCGCAGAACGCGAGGAGAACGCCGUGAAGAACGAAGUCCGCCUCCUGAAGCGCGACAUCCGCGAAGACAAGAAGCGGCUAAUACGCCACCUGACGGCCGAGGCGACCGUGCAGCGGCGGGCGCAGGAGAAGCGGCACGCCAUAGACGACGCGCUGCGCGAGAAGCGUUACCACAACGUCAUGAGUCAGCUGCAGCAACAACAGCACUCGAUGAACGUUGUGGAUUCCUUAAAGGCACGCGCCAAGUCCAAGUCGCGCAAGGGCCUAAGCGGUGCGCCAACCACGUCCUCGUCCACGGAGGCAGACAAGGAAUGACGGCGUCUGCUGACACUAAGCCUGUGCGCAUGUUUCGGUAAGCAAUAAGCCUGAGCGCAUGCGUGUGUGCAUGUAAAGGCGUGCGUGCGUACGUGUGUGCAUGUGUCUUCGAUUAAAGCGCGCUCCUGUUAAGCAAGUAACGAAGGAAGUUAGCGAGAGAGGAGGAGGGAGGCGACCCGUGGCGCGAUGGCGCGUCGGCCUCCCUUCACGGAGAAGGGCGGCAGCGGUGCGGAGGAGAGUAGAGGAGGGCGGGAUAGCGACGAGGCCGUCGAGGAACGGCCGUGUGAUGGACCACGCUUCUUGGGAAGCGGUCUGAGCUAACGCCACUCUCCGCUAAAGCGCGCAGACCGACCGUGGUGUUGCAGGUGGUCAUCAUCACUGCGACGGUGCGACCGGCGCACUCACGCAUACACAGAUGAAGACCCUCCAUGACAGCAUGCAGUGCACGCGCGCAAGCAGCGGUGGGUGUUCACACGGUUGUCGUACCUCUAACAGCGAGGAUAGAGUGGUGCAGGCACACCUGUGCCGUCCACUCGGCAAGCGUCUUCAUCGUGCAUACACAUGACUGCCCCCCUCCCCCAACAGAUACACAGCAUGCGCCUACUUUCUUUGUUGCGAAGCACAGCUAUCUCUACAUCUGCACGCACACCUGCCAGCCUCCGUCUCGCGACAGUGCAUCACCCUCCUCUCAUUUCGAGGCAUCUGCCCAUCUCCACUGUUCUGCUGCCCGCCUCCCCGCCACUCUUUCCACGCGCCUGCGCAG